rnacentral:rRNA from 1 species
AUUGAACGCUGGCGGCAGGCCUAACACAUGCAAGUCGAACGAGUGGCGGACGGGUGGGUAAUGUCUGUGCAACUGCCCGAUGGAGGGGGAUAACUACUGGACACUGUAGCUAAUACCGCAUACCAUCGGAUGUGCCCAUAUGGGAUUAGCUAGUGGGUGGGGUAAUGGCUCACCUAGGCGACGAUCCGUAGCUGGUCUGAGAGGAUGAACAGUCACACUGGAACUGAGACACGGUCCAGACUCCUACGGGAGGCAGCAGUGGGGAAUAUUGGACAAUGGGCGCAAGCCUGAUGCAGCCAUGCCGCGGGUGUGAAGAAGGCCUUCGGGUUGUAAAGCACUUUCAGCGGGGAGGCGUUACCAGCAGAAGAAGCACCGGCUAACUCCGUGCCAGCCGCCGCGGUAAUUC